GCAUCGAUAGCUCAGUGGCAGAGCGGUGGGCCGUUGACGCUUGCGGCCCGGGUUUGAUCCACGGUCGAUGCC